UGGGGAAUAUUGGACAAUGGGCGCAAGCCUGAUCCAGCCAUGCCGCGUGGAUGAAGAAGGCCCUAGGGUUGUAAAAUCCUUUCGCUAGGGAAGAUAAUGACGGUACCUAGUAAAGAAGCCCCGGCUAAUUUCGUGCCAGCAGCCGCGGUAAUACGAAAGGGGCUAGCGUUGUUCGGAAUUACUGGGCGUAAAGCGCACGUAGGCGGCCUUGUAAGUUGGGGGUGAAAUCCCGGAGCUCAACUCCGGAACUGCCUCCAAAACUACAAAGCUUGAGGAUGUGAGAGGAUAGUGGAAUUCCGAGUGUAGAGGUGAAAUUCGUAGAUAUUCGGAAGAACACCAGUGGCGAAGGCGACUGUCUGGCACAUUUCUGACGCUGAGGUGCGAAAGCGUGGGGAGCAAACAGGAUUAGAUACCCCCGUAGUCC
rnacentral:rRNA from 1 species